rnacentral:rRNA from 1 species
AUGAACGCUGGCGGCGUGCCUAAUACAUGCAAGUCGAGCGAACAGACGAGGAGCUUGCUCCUCUGACGUUAGCGGCGGACGGGUGAGUAACACGUGGAUAACCUACCUAUAAGACUGGGAUAACUUCGGGAAACCGGAGCUAAUACCGGAUAAUAUAUUGAACCGCAUGGUUCAAUAGUGAAAGACGGUUUUGCUGUCUCUUAUAGAUGGAUCCGCGCCGCAUUAGCUAGUUGGUAAGGUAACGGCUUACCAAGGCAACGAUGCGUAGCCGACCUGAGAGGGUGAUCGGCCACACUGGAACUGAGACACGGUCCAGACUCCUACGGGAGGCAGCAGUAGGGAAUCUUCCGCAAUGGGCGAAAGCCUGACGGAGCAACGCCGCGUGAGUGAUGAAGGUCUUCGGAUCGUAAAACUCUGUUAUUAGGGAAGAACAAAUGUGUAAGUAACUAUGCACGUCUUGACGGUACCUAAUCAGAAAGCCACGGCUAACUACGUG